CUGGAUUCGCUAGUAAUCGCGCAUCAGCCACGGCGCGGUGAAUACGUUCCCGGGCCUUGUACACACCGCCCGUCAAGCCAUGGAAGCCGGGGGUGCCUGAAGUGCGCUGCCGCGAGGAGCGCCCUAGGGUAAAACCGGUGACUGGGGCUAAGUCGUAACAAGGUAUC
rnacentral:rRNA from 1 species